GGUUGAGCAGUUUAUUUAAUUAAAUUGGUGUUGUAUGUGUUCAAAAAUAAAGAAUAAAUUUUGUUGUGAUUUGAAAUUGAAUAUAUUAUUUAUUCUUAUUACUAAAUGUAAUUAUAUAAUUAUCUUGGAAAAUCUUUUUUUGAAUAAAAUAUUUUUUUUUAAUAAUUCUUCACUGUUGUUCCAAUUGAAGUGUUCCUCAAAUAUUGAUUCAAUACAUUACCUCGGGCCAACCAAUUCAUUUGAUUAAGUUCCUCAAGAUAUUCAUACACUUCCUAGUAUAAUUGUAAACUUCCUGUUAAAUGGUUUGAAUGCACCAAUCACCUUUGUUGUUUGUGCAACUAACCAAUCAUCAAUAGAAAGGAAGUGACCAGAAAUUAUUAAAUACUUGGAAUUGGCUCUUUCACAGGAAGUGUAUGAAUAUCUGGAGCAACUUGAUGGAAUGAGAUGCUUGUGUGAUGUUACUCUGAGUGUAUAUCCACACCGGGCAGGCUUGAAAAAUAUGCCUGGCCACAGUGGGAUUUCAAGCUUGCCCGGUGUGGAUAUGCACUCAGAGUAAUAUCACACAAGCAUCAUAUUCACAAAUAUCAUGGUUGUUAGAUUACACUGAUAUCGAAGGAACUAGACUCAGUUCCGAAAUAUCGCAUACUCGAACUGCCCCGACUGUAUAGCUCAGUUGGCAGAGCAUAUUUGGGCCAGUAUUCCAAAGGUUGUAGGUUCAAAUCCCACUGUGGCCAGGCAUAUUUUUCAAGCCUGCCCAGUGUGGAUAUCCACUCAGAGUAUGUAACAUCACACAAGCAUCUUAUUCACCUGAGUACAUGUAUUACACCAACACAGCAAAUAUCUUGAUGGAAUGAAUUGGUCAGCCCGAGGUAAAGUAUUGAAUCAAUAUUUGAGGAACACUUAAAAAUAAGGUAUGAAUCGCAUAAAAUGCAGAUAUCAAAAUCAAACAUUG